CAAUGGGGGAAACCCUGAUCCAGCAAUGCCGCGUGAGUGAAGAAGGAAUUAGGGUUGUAAAGCUCUUUCGCCCGCGAAGAUAAUGACGGUAGCGGGAGAAGAAGCCCCGGCUAACUCCGUGCCAGCAGCCGCGGUAAUACGGAGGGGGCUAGCGUUGUUCGGAAUUACUGGGCGUAAAGCGUACGUAGGCGGAUGCGCAAGUUGGGGGUGAAAUCCCGGGGCUUAACCUCGGAAUUGCCCUCAAAACUGCACGUCUUGAGACCGAGAGAGGUAAGGGGAAUUCCUAGUGUAGAGGUGAAAUUCGUAGAUAUUAGGAAGAACACCAGUGGCGAAGGCGCCUUACUGGCUCGGUACUGACGCUGAGGUACGAAAGCGUGGGGAGCAAGCA
rnacentral:rRNA from 1 species